GCUAGAGUUUGGUAGGGGAGACUGGAAUUCCUGGUGUAGCGGUGGAAUGCGCAGAUAUCAGGAGGAACACCGAUGGCGAAGGCAGGUCUCUGGGCCAAUACUGACACUGAGGAGCGAAAGCGUGGGGAGCGAACAGGAUUAGAUACCGUGGUAGUACACGCCGUAAACGGUGGGCGCUAGUUGUGCGAACCUUCCACGGUUUGUGCGACGCAGCUAACGCAUUAAGCGCCCCGCCUGGGGAGUACGAUCGCAAGAUUAAAACUCAAAGGAAUUGACGGGGCCCCGCACAAGCAGCGGAGCAUGCGGCUUAAUUCGAUGCAACGCGAAGAACCUUACCAAGGCUUGACAUAUACAGGAAUACGGCAGAGAUGUCGUAGCCGCAAGGUCUGUAUACAGGUGGUGCAUGGUUGUCGUCAGCUCGUGUCGUGAGAUGUUGGGUUAAGUCCCGCAACGAGCGCAACCCUCGUUCUGUGUUGCCAGCAUUUAGUUGGGGACUCACAGGAGACUGCCGGGGUUAACUCGGAGGAAGGUGGGGAUGACGUCAAAUCAUCAUGCCCCUUAUGUCUUGGGCUGCACGCAUGCUACAAUGGCUGGUACAAACGGCUGCAAUACCGCAAGGUGGAGCGAAUCCGAGAAAGCCAGUCUCAGUUCGGAUUGGGGUCCGCAACUCGACCCCAUGAAGUCGGAGUUGCUAGUAAUCGUAGAUCAGCAACGCUACGGUGAAUACGUUCCCGGGGCUUGUACACACCGCCCGUCACAUCACGAAAGUCGGUAACACCCAAAGUCAGUGGCCCAACCGCAAGGAGGGAGCUGCCAAAGGUGGGAUCGGUGAUUGGGAUGAAGUCGUAACAAGGUAACCGU
rnacentral:rRNA from 1 species